UACGUAGGGGGCAAGCGUUGUCCGGAAUCAUUGGGCGUAAAGCGCGUGUAGGCGGUCCGGUAAGUCGGUUGUGAAAGUCCAGGGCUCAACCCUGGGAUGCCGAUCGAUACUGCCGGACUAGAGUCCGGAAGAGGCGAGUGGAAUUCCCGGUGUAGCGGUGAAAUGCGUAGAUAUCUGGAGGAACACCGGUGGCGAAGGCGGCAUCCUGGACCGGCAUUGACGCUGAGGCGCGAAAGCCAGGGGAGCAAACGGG
rnacentral:rRNA from 1 species